GCUGGGGUGGCCGAAUGGUUCAGGCGGUAGCCUGCAGAGCUGCUAUAUAUGGGUUCAAUUCCCAUCCCCAGCUCCA
rnacentral:tRNA from 1 species